rnacentral:lncRNA from 1 species
AUGCCAGCAUCAAAUUUUGCAAGGUCUUGUGGAUGAAUAAUAAACCAUGGCAUCACUUCCACAUGCUGCGUUCUGUGGUCUUUGGGAGGAAAUGACCCUUAUCCUUUCCCAAACCAACAGUUAACACACCUUUGUUGAUACAUGUCAUACUGCUGAGGCUCAGAGUAAGUAACAUCAAUACACUGAGAAAUGAUAUGGGAAACUAGCAUAAGUAAGCAAGGAAAUAUCUCUUACCACAAGAGUUUAAAUGCUGAAGGACUUCUCUCAUAGAAAUAACGAACAUACUGGGCCCCUCAUUACAAGAAGGAUACUGAGACCCUAGAGCGUGUCCAGAGAAGGGCAAUGGGGUUGUGAGGGGUCUGGAGCACAAUGGGGUCUUAUGGGGAGCGGCCGAGGGAACUGGGAUGGUUCAGUCUGGGGAAGAGGAUGCUCAGGGGAGACCUUAUUGCUCUCUACAAUGACCCGAAAAGAGGUUGUGUGAGGUGGGGGUUGGCCUCUUCUUCCAGGUAACAGUGAUAGGAGGAGAGAGAAUGGCCUUAAGUCGCACCAGGGGAAGUUCAGGUUGGAUAUUAGGGAAAAUUUCUUCACCGAAAGAGUGGUGAUGCACUGGCACAGGCUGCCCAGGGAGGUGGAGGAGUUAUUGUCCCUGGAGGUGUUGAAGAAUGCGGGGAUGUGGCACUGAGGGAUGUGGUCAGUGGGCACGGUGGGGAGGGUUGGAUUUGGUGAUCUUAGAGAUCUUUUCCCACAUUACUGAUUCUGUGACUCUAUGAUUCUAUACAGUCUGCCAGCUGUUACUUCAUGCCAGUUUUCACAGGCUGGAGCCAUGCACCACAAAAAAGAGGCUCCUAACAGCCCCCGGGGACUGGCUUCUGCCAUCGGAGACAAAAAGCUGAGCAGAACGCACAGAGGAAACAAUACAAAAGCAACCUAUUUCCAUGCCAUUUGGCUGUCGAUGACAAGUGGACUGGUGGUGCUAGACAGCACCCAGGGGAGGAGCCGAAACACUCUAUCUGUGACACCUCGUUGAAGGUAUUACUCCUGCUUUCCUCCACUUUGCAGAGCGUAAACCCCAGGGAAAUCUGGAAUCCUUCUGCACUCCCCCUGCAGGAAUCCCUGCACUGGGGGCAGGCAGGAGGAACUCUAUUCCAGCCACGCAGGGCCUCUUGCUUGUCUUUUACCAGGAGCCAGUGCCCAUGCUGGCACACUGCAGCCUGGCUUGUUCUGCUCUGAGCUUCCCAGGAGCUGGGCAGCGAAUCUUUUCAAAAAGCGCUGCCCCCUGCUUUCUAACAUCGAGCUGGGAAAAUGGGGGGAAAAGCAACAGCAGCAAAAAAAACAGAACCAACUUCUGGAGAAGAAGAGAGGAGGAGGCUAGGGGAAGCUGAGGCACUGGGAAAAAUCUGAUUUUGAGGUUUUGUUGCUGUGGUGGCACAAUUCCCUGCCAUGCAGCUGUGUAAUGAGUUCACAUCUGUUAAUGCCACAUGUUGCUCUGCCUUGCACAGAUGCAAAGUCUCAAUUUUUCUAAUUAGCAACAACAUGAAGUAUAUCUUAAUUUUCUGUCCCCCAUCCCUCUAAUAAAUGUGGUAUUAACAAGGUUACGUGCCUGCUU